AGUCGCAGGGGCAGCACAAGUGUAGCAAUACUCUGGGUGGCGACCGGCGCACGGCCCUUAAACGCCCAUGCAACCUACCUUCCACAGGGGGAUAGCCUUCCUUUAGGGAGAUUAAUACCGCAUGAAACAGGGGCCCCGCAUGGGGAUAUUUGUUAAAGAUUUAUCGGUGGAAGAUGGGCCUGCGUUCCAUUAGCUAGUUGGGGGGGUAACGGCCCACCAAGGCAACGAUGGAUAGGGGAACUGAGAGGUUUAUCCCCCACACUGGGACUGAGACACGGCCCAGACUCCUACGGGAGGCAGCAGUGAGGAAUAUUGGUCAAUGGGCGGGAGCCUGAACCAGCCAAGUCGCGUGGAGGACGACGGUUCUAUGGAUUGUAAACUCCUUUUGCACUGGGGUAAAACGCGGGACGUGUCCCGCCUUGUAAGUACAGUGCGAAUAAGCAUCGGCUAACUCCGUGCCAGCAGCCGCGGUAAUACGGAGGAUGCGAGCGUUAUCCGGAUUUAUUGGGUUUAAAGGGUGCGUAGGCGGCCCCUUAAGUCAACGGAAAAAUUUCUGCGCUCAACGCCAUCCCGCCCAUUAAACUGGGGGGGCUUGAGUCUAGAUGAAGUGGGCGGGAAUUUUGUAGUGUAGCGGGGAAAUGCUUAAAUAUUACCAGGGACUCCGAAUUGCGCACGGCGCUCCCUAAAGCUUUCACCGACCCUGGAAACCCAAAAGCCGGGGUACAAAAAUGGAUUAAAUACCCCGGGAAUCCCCCACAUAAACAAAGAAUACUCCCUGGUUGUCCAAAACAAGAAGGCGGCCAAACAAAAGCGGUAAGGGAUCCCCCUGGGGGGGACCGCCCCGCCCAGGGGAAA
rnacentral:rRNA from 1 species